UUUUCCCAGUACCAUUUUAUAGUCCAAUCGUGUACCACUUACCUAUCGAUCCGCUUUGCCGUUUAGCAGCAUCUGGAGACGUUUGGUCUUUAUGGAACUGUGAAUCUUGUUCUUGGCGUGCUUGGGAGCGCGUUUCGCAUCGAUCCUUGUAAAAAUGAAUAAACAUAAAAUAACAAAUUGGGUAUGAGACAAAAAGCACGAGUUCAGAACGCCUCCACUUACCAAAAGUUGGAAACAAAAAUGGACAUUAAAAUCAGAGUGAUUACUGCUCGCUUCGACAUCUUCAAAGUCCUGUUCUCUUCGUAUCCUUUGAUGAAAUAACAACCCAAAAUAUUUCAUGUACCUUAAAAUAUGUGUAGCUGUCAACGUUUUCACGAGGUCAGCAAACAAACCUCCGAAAUAUAGGAAGCAGGUUGACACGCAUAGAAAAAUACUUUGGAAUUUACCGCAAACAGGACGCCAGGCCACGCCAAAAUUUGGAAUUUAAUUUAGGACUUGCGCACAAAAUAUGCAACAAAUUAUGAACGAAAAUUGAGCUCUCGCAAGUGAUUUCAACACAGCUCGCUCGAGUCCCUCGCUUUAAUUCACGCCUCGGUUAAUACUCCGAGUCUGACAGAUACCAGAUUUCAUAAAGGAACCACAAGCUACAAACAAAAUGGACCUCAUUCUAUUUUUAUUUAAAGUUUCCGGUGCGAUAGGUUCGAAGCCCAAACAUUUUGUGUCCCAUGAACAAUUUGACCGUUCUGACCUGUCCGGCCGUAGUGUUAAUGGGAACGCCCUAGGAAUUUUUCAGACCACUAACUAUGUUUUGAUUAUUUUCUAUAAACUUAAGCCGGUUACAGACGAGCAAGUUUUCUAUGACAAGUUUUUAUGUGACAAGUUUUAUUUGCUCGUCUGUACGCGCAACUUUGACAAUUUUUU